UUCCCGACAAAAUUCCCACUGGUGAGUGGAUGAACUCGCCCCUAGUUUAGCCAGUAGGCUUCUGCGAAGCAUACCUCCCUGAUUCGCGCCCCAAUUUGAUGGUAGGCAUCCCCUCCAGCGAGAUCAAGUCACGCCCGAGACUUUCGUCCGCCGGAGCAGUAGCCAUCAUCGAUGUGGUGCUCACUGACGAUCGGCUCCACCUGCCAUCAUCGAUGUGGUGCUCACUGACUAUCGGCUCCACAGAAUGGUCCCUAAUUUUAUUUCUCUUAUAGCUUUUAAACUACGAAAUCUUUUCAAAUGAUUCAUUUUGCAAAAGAAAAUUCUAGAUGUGUAUUUUAUUCUCGUAUUUAUUAAAAAUGUUAAGCCUAGCCUUUAGCACUUACAAUAGUAUAUGGUGUAUGCCAUAGAUACCGACGAGGGAAACGUCGAUGUCAACUUCAUCGACCUUGAUCCCGACUAUGUGGAACCAGGCAAGCAUGUUUGACUUUUUGACUUUUUGAUGUGAUGUUUGCUGAGUAACAAAUUUAAUUCUGCUGCAUUAACUAACAUAUUGCAUAUUACAUACAUAUAAUACAAUAUGUGGCUAUGAUGACUUAUAUGGCUGUGAGAGGCCGUGGAUAACCUAGUCACAGGGAACAUGAUAGGUUGUGGCCUCGUCAUGCCAGAUGCAUGCUCGUGGUGAGAUAUAAAUUGAAUAACUCUAGUAUCGACCUAGAUCAAGUAUUGUCAUUGUGUCACCUUUAUUAUCAUGCUGACAUAGUUUUUUUAAAGGGAAUGCGGGUUACACACAAAAUAAAGCGAUCGGGAUGACGGUAUCCAUUGCCCUGGACUAAAUGAUGUCAUCCGGUCAGGGGGCAUGGGUGUUUUCGGUCUGGGACCGAGAGCGAGGGCAUUCCCUUGUAGCGCACGGUAUAAGUUUGAUCCCUUGCUGGUCGAGGUUGGAGCCUCCCCAUCUUAUGAUUUUUCCCUGGUGGCAUAGUCCAGGUGAGACCAGUCUUCAUGGGGUAAAAAUGGGUGUGUGCUGGUUCUGAGUGUUUGCUUCUAAAAUAUCAUAUGCGUGGUUAGUCCUGGUGACUAUUGGCACCAGUGGCCUAUGGGUAAAGACUACAGCCUCUACAAAGUCAAAACUAUUCGAGUAGUCGUGUCCACUGUCAAGGACGGCUGGUCGACAGGUCAAGUGAUAGUCUUAGAGUCGGUCCCUGGAGCACAAGUUUGGUUUAUAAGUAAUGGUUAUGAACAUCUCGCGGUAAUGUGCAAAGAAAUUUUACUUGUUGGAAAUGUGUCUACUCGGAAUAUACUGAAGGUUGGUUGUACCACCCUGAUAAUCCUUUUAUUUACUUAUGCCCUUUCUGUGGCGUCACUAAGAUGCCCCACUGUGGCUUGUCAUUUAAUUAUGCCCUCUCUGUGGUGUCGCUAAGAUGCCCGACUAUGGCUUGUUAUUUACUUAUGCCCUCUGUGUGGUGUCGCUAAGAUGCCCGACUACGGCUUGUUAUAUUAUUAUGCCCUGUAUGCAGUGUCGCUUAGACGCCCGACGGUGUUUAUUUAUUUUACCUGUUAACCUUCCGAGGCAUCGCUUCAGACACUCGAUCGAUGCAUUUUAUUUUCUGGAUGGAUAUUUCGGGAGGAUUACCUCCCAACUUAUAUGCUCUAACUUAACUGUUGUUUAUAUCCUUAUCAUGAUAACCAUGACAUUUAACCAUGCAUAAUAAUAUUGCUGCAUGCACCUCAUCUUUUGUGCAAAUUGUUUGGAGUACUUUUCGAAGUACUCACUGGCUUGCUGAUGUGACCAAAUGAAGGACAAUACAUGGAUGAAGAGUUUGAUAGCGAGUCUGACGUCUAGAGGAGUCUGGGUCAGUCUUGCAAUCAUGGAGUCAGUCGCUGUAUUAUACCACCCCUUCCGCCACCAUGAAUAAAUCGUCAAGCUUCACUCUGAAGCUUGGCGAGUAGUAGUACUUAUGCCAUGUAACUUCACUCUAAAGUGAUGUGCCCACUUUAUUACAAGAAGUAGAGUUACCCCAUGGCCACUGUAACAUAUCCAUCCUUGUGAGACUAUAGACACGUUGUAAUAAUUUGUAGAGCGACCGCCGCUCUACUAUGUUUAAUAUUAAGUACUACUGGUUCCUGUAUCAAGAUGAGUCUAUCAGUGGGAAAUAUUUUUCUACACUGGUGACAUUCAUGGCUAAUGUCCAAUAAAUUAUUUUAUUUGGAAACCGGUCCUGAUAACCUUGGUAUCACAGCCAGGCUCACUGUAGGAAACCUUUAGGCACGAUUGCUAACCGGAUUAGUUGUGUUAUUUUCAU
rnacentral:lncRNA from 1 species